UUAGUUCAACAGGUUCCACUUAAUAUCCUUUGCGUAACUCCCCUGUCCUUCAUGUUAAAUGAAGUAUCUGUUUUCUUUUUUUUUUCAACAGUGCAAAAUAGACACACAGACCUGCUCCUUGCUUGGAAAUUUCAAGCAACAGUUCUUGGAAACCAUAUGGAGAUCAGCCUGGGAGUUUUGCAAGGUAAGGGACUGCCUGCGAUGCCAGGAUGUCUGGCUGGGUGCAGAGAUUUGCAUCUUUUCUGUUUUGAAAUUAUUCUAUUGUAACAAUUUUCAUUUUAGUUUAGUUUGGCAAUACGUCCUUGUUUCUAAAGGUGUCUACACUUAUUAGACUACAGAAAAUAUUUACUUUUCUAAAGGGCAGCUUAACCUUUGUUUAAAUUUGAGGUGAGCAAAAGGUCAUUGUAAUUAUUUGCUGCAUUAUUUGUGUCACAUCUGAGUUACUAUGAAGGCUGAACAUGCACUGCCCUUUAUUAAGAAACUUAACAAAACCCAGUGCAACCACAUUUUUUGCAUUUAGCAAAUAUUUUACUGAACUGAUGGCAGUUACAGGAAACUUUCACCAUGCAAGCUCUGACUGAGACUAAGUUAGCAGAAGAC
rnacentral:lncRNA from 1 species